rnacentral:rRNA from 1 species
AUCGAACGCUGGCGGCAUGCUUUACACAUGCAAGUCGAACGGCAGCGCGGGCUUCGGCCUGGCGGCGAGUGGCGAACGGGUGAGUAAUACAUCGGAACGUGCCCAGUAGUGGGGGAUAGCUCGGCGAAAGCCGGAUUAAUACCGCAUACGACCUGAGGGUGAAAGCGGGGGAUCUUCGGACCUCGCGCUAUUGGAGCGGCCGAUGGCAGAUUAGCUAGUUGGUGGGGUAAAGGCCUACCAAGGCGACGAUCUGUAGCUGGUCUGAGAGGACGACCAGCCACACUGGGACUGAGACACGGCCCAGACUCCUACGGGAGGCAGCAGUGGGGAAUUUUGGACAAUGGGCGAAAGCCUGAUCCAGCAAUGCCGCGUGUGUGAUGAAGGCCUUCGGGUUGUAAAGCACUUUUGGCGGGAACGAAAAGGACUGUGCCAAUACCACGGUUCGAUGACGGUACCCGCAGUAUAAGCACCGGCUAACUACGUG